rnacentral:rRNA from 1 species
UAAAUAGCCAGGUUGACUUUUGUCGGCCGCCGGCUUCUUAGAGGGACUUUUGGCUCAAGCCAAUGGAAGUACGAGGCAAUAACAGGUUGACCUUGAGUCACAAACUCAUCACAGGCCUGUUACAGCGAGCCUCGCUGAAAAAUAAUUCGCUAGUUGAGUGUCUUUAUCCCUUUGGCGGAAGUCUGCCUACUGUCGGGAAGGGACCAGCCUGCAGCUCUGCAGACUGGUGGCACCAGCAAGACAACCUGGAUCAGGGGACGCUUCUUCCAUGAUGGAAUGCCGAUCCUGAGGCGAGCCGGAAUAACGUCCGGCCGUCGCAACGCGCGCAAAGGUGUCG